CCUACGGGUGACAGCAGUGAGGAAUAUUGGUCAAUGGACGAGAGUCUGAACCAGCCAAGUAGCGUGAAGGAUGACUGCCCUAUGGGUUGUAAACUUCUUUUAUCUGGGAAUAAAAUGUUCCACGUGUGGGGUUUUGUAUGUAACAUGUGGAAAAGGAUCGGCUAAAGCCGUGCCAGCAGCCGGCGUAAUACGGGGGAACCGAGCGUUAUCCGGGGUUAGUGGGUUUAAAGGGAGCGUAGGUGGAUUGUUAAGUCAGUUGUGAAAGUUUGCGGCUCAACCGUCAAAUUGCAGUUGAAACUGGCAGUCUUGAGUACAGUAGAGGUGGGCGGAAUUCGUGGUGUAGCGGUGAAAUGCUUAGAUAUCACGAAGAACUCCGAUUGCGAAGGCAGUUCACUGGACUGCAACUGACACUGAGGCUCGAAAGUGUGGGUAUCAAACAGGAUUAGAUACCCUUGUAGUC
rnacentral:rRNA from 1 species